UACGUAGGGGGCAAGCGUUGUCCGGAUUUAUUGGGCGUAAAGAGCGUGUAGGCGGCCAGAUAGGUCUGCUGUGAAAACUCGAGGCUCAACCUCGAGAUGUCGGCGGAAACCAUUUGGCUAGAGUCCGGAAGAGGAAAGUGGAAUUCCUGGUGUAGCGGUGAAAUGCGCAGAUAUCAGGAGGAACACCAAUUGCGAAGGCAGCUCGCUGGGACGUUACUGACGCUGAGACGCGAAAGCGUGGGGAGCAAACAGG
rnacentral:rRNA from 1 species